GUUAUAUGGUCAAGUGAAGAAGCGCAUACGGUGGAUGCCUUGGCAGUCAGAGGCGAUGAAAGACGUGGUAGCCUGCGAUAAGCUUCGGGGAGUCGGCAAACAGACUUUGAUCCGGAGAUCUCUGAAUGGGGAAACCCACUUGGCAUAAGCCAGGUAUCUUGCACUGAAUACAUAGGUGUAAGAGGCGAACCAGGGGAACUGAAACAUCUAAGUACCCUGAGGAAAAGAAAUCAACCGAGAUUCCCUUAGUAGUGGCGAGCGAACGGGGACUAGCCCUUAAGCUUCUUUGAAUCUAACAGAACGCUCUGGAAAGUGCGGCCAUAGUGGGUGAUAGCCCCGUAUGUGAAAGGUUCUUUGAAGUGAAAUCGAGUAGGACGGAGCACGAGAAACUUUGUCUGAAUAUGGGGGGACCAUCCUCCAAG
rnacentral:rRNA from 1 species